rnacentral:lncRNA from 1 species
AGCUCUCAUUGAGUGCUUAUUGCGUGUCAGGUACUCUGCACUGUCUCCUUUAUUUAAAUUAAUUUAAUUCUUUCCACUGCCUGGUGUGGUAGGCAGUGUUAUCCCCACGUUGUGGGUGAGGGACUGUUUUCUCUACUGGCUGGCAGCAGAGGGUUCAGACCCUGUCUCUGGGGCCGGGUUUCUCCCCUCACCCCCUACAGGGCCUCAGAUGGAGCCUGUGGCCAGCAGUAGCCUCAAGUAUGGAUCAUAGCAUCAGCAGCCUGCCUUUAAACCCAGCCUCCCCCACCUGAGCUGUGUGACUUUGACCAAGCUAUUUAACCAGGGUUUCAGUUCAUACAUAGCUCCUGGGUUUGCUAGGAGAUAUAGA